rnacentral:rRNA from 1 species
GACGAACGCUGGCGGCAUGCCUAACACAUGCAAGUCGAACGGGACCUUCGGGUCUAGUGGCGCACGUGUGCGUAACGCGUGGGAACCUGCCCUUAGGUUCGGAAUAACUCCCCGAAAGGGGUGCUAAUACCGGAUAAGGUCUUCGGACCAAAGAUUUAUCGCCUUUGGAUGGGCCCGCGUUGGAUUAGCUAGUUGGUAGGGUAAAAGCCUACCAAGGCGACGAUCCAUAGCUGGUCUGAGAGGAUGAUCAGCCACACUGGGACUGAGACCCGGCCCAGACUCCUACGGGAAGCAGCAGUGGGGAAUAUUGGACAAUGGGCGAAAGCCUGAUCCAGCAAUGCCGCGUGAGUGAUGAAGGCCUUAGGGUUGUAAAGCUCUUUUACCCGGGAUGAUAAUGACAGUACCGGGAGAAUAAGCUCCGGCUAACUCCGUG